UGGGGAAUAUUGCACAAUGGGCGCAAGCCUGAUGCAGCCAUGCCGCGUGUAUGAAGAAGGCCUUCGGGUUGUAAAGUACUUUCAGCGAGGAGGAAGGCGUUGUGGUUAAUAACCGCAACGAUUGACGUUACUCGCAGAAGAAGCACCGGCUAACUCCGUGCCAGCAGCCGCGGUAAUACGGAGGGGGCAAGCGUUAAUCGGAAUUACGGGGCGUAAAGCGCACGCAGGCGGUCUGUCAAGUCGGAUGUGAAAUCCCCGGGCUCAACCUGGGAACUGCAUCCGAAACUGGCAGGCUAGAGUCUUGUAGAGGGGGGUAGAAUUCCAGGUGUAGCGGUGAAAUGCGUAGAGAUCUGGAGGAAUACCGGUGGCGAAGGCGGCCCCCUGGACAAAGACUGACGCUCAGGUGCGAAAGCGUGGGGAGCAAACA
rnacentral:rRNA from 1 species